UACGGACAUAUUACGUAGAAACGCCGGUUCUCGUAGGAUCACUGAAGAUAAACAACGUCAAGCUUUGUCAGUACCUUGAUAGGUGACCGCUUGGGAAUACAGUGUGCUG